rnacentral:rRNA from 1 species
UGGGGAAUUUUGGACAAUGGGCGAAAGCCUGAUCCAGCAAUGCCGCGUGUGUGAAGAAGGCCUUCGGGUUGUAAAGCACUUUUGUCCGGAAAGAAAUCCUUGGCUCUAAUACAGUCGGGGGAUGACGGUACCGGAAGAAUAAGCACCGGCUAACUACGUGCCAGCAGCCGCGGUAAUACGUAGGGUGCAAGCGUUAAUCGGAAUUACUGGGCGUAAAGCGUGCGCAGGCGGUUUGCUAAGACCGAUGUGAAAUCCCCGGGCUCAACCUGGGAACUGCAUUGGUGACUGGCAGGCUAGAGUAUGGCAGAGGGGGGUAGAAUUCCACGUGUAGCAGUGAAAUGCGUAGAGAUGUGGAGGAAUACCGAUGGCGAAGGCAGCCCCCUGGGCCAAUACUGACGCUCAUGCACGAAAGCGUGGGGAGCAAACAGGAUUAGAUACCCUGGUAGUCCACGCCCUAAACGAUGCCAACUGGUUGUUGGGGGAUUCAUUUUCCUUAGUAACGUAGCUAACGCGUGAAGUUGACCGCCUGGGGGAGUACGGUCGCAAGAUUAAAACUUAAAUGAAUUGACGGGGUCAUAGCUGUUUCCU